rnacentral:misc_RNA from 1 species
AUACACCCCGCGCAGCAACAUUGUUACAUGUUUGCGUUGGGGAAACGAUGUGUGACACCCAGGCAGGCGUGCCCUCGGCCUAAUGGCUUCGGGCGCAACUUGCGUUCAAAGACUCGAUGGUUCACGGGAUUCUGCAAUUCACACCAAGUAUCGCAUUUCGCUGCGUUCUUCAUCGAUGCCGACGUCAUAACC